rnacentral:rRNA from 1 species
AUGCCCUUAUCUGGGAUGGCCAUUGCUUUCAAAGCAAGCACGAGUGCUUGUACUGCACAACAGCUGUGGGGGCAUCCAACCAGGGAUCAGUGUCAGCAUGGUUUCACUCACUUAAAUGAACGAAAGAGCAGAAAAGGCUCUGCUGCACUGCAUGCCAGAGCUAUUCCUGGGAACUUAGACCUGGAUUUCGGUGAUCCUUCUUGGAAGCAAAAGUAUCAGGAAGACUGGGAUAGGCGUUUUAGUUUGCCACAUAUUACAGAUGUAUUUGAUUUAGAGCCAAGGCUCACUACAUUUUCUCUGAAGAAAAACAGUCCCCUGGGCGCUAGCGAUGCUUCAUCACCUGACAAGUGGAAUGGCUAUGUAAAUAAGGAUGAUAGAGCACUUCUGAAGGUGAUUAACUAUGCCUCUAAUACUUCUGCUGGAGCUGUGUGCAUUGAUCCUGAUUGUAGCUGGGUGGAACAUUGGGUGCAUCGUGCAGGGCCUCGUAAGGAAAUAUACUAUGAGCCAGAGGAAGUAAAAGCAGCCAUUGUUACCUGUGGAGGGCUCUGCCCUGGUUUAAAUGAUGUCAUUAGACAGAUAGUAUUUACCCUGGAGAUCUAUGGGGUGAAGAAUAUUGUCGGAAUUCAGUUUGGUUAUCGUGGAUUUUUUGAAAAAGGCUUAAAAGAAAUGCCGCUUUCACGUGAUGUGGUGGAGAACAUAAAUCUUGCUGGUGGAAGCUUCCUCGGUGUCUCCCGUGGAGGAGCUAAAACUAGUGAAAUUGUAGAUAGCAUACAGGCCAGAAGAAUCGAUAUGCUAUUUGUAAUCGGAGGAAAUGGUAGCCAUGCUGGAGCUAAUGCUAUUCACGAGGAGUGCCGUAAGAGAAAACUGAAAGUUUCAGUUGUAGCUGUUCCAAAGACAAUUGACAAUGAUAUACUUUUCAUGGAUAAGACUUUUGGUUUUGACACAGCUGUUGAAGAAGCUCAACGUGCAAUCAAUUCUGCCUAUAUAGAGGCACGUAGUGCAUAUCAUGGAGUUGGGUUGGUCAAAUUAAUGGGAAGAAGCACUGGGUUCAUAGCCAUGCAUGCUUCUCUUUCUAGCGGACAGAUUGAUGUCUGCCUAAUACCUGAGGUAUCUUUUACACUUGAUGGAGAACAUGGUGUCUUGUCACAUCUUGAGCAUUUACUGGAAACCAAGGGAUUUUGUGUGGUUUGUGUGGCUGAAGGUGCAGGACAGGAUUUACUGCAAAAAUCAAAUGCAACAGAUGCAUCAGGAAAUGUGAUACUUAGUGAUUUUGGUGUCCACAUGCAGCAAAAGAUCAAGAAACAUUUCAAGGACAUUGGUGUUCUAGCUGAUGUGAAGUACAUCGACCCAACAUAUAUGGUCCGGGCCUGUCGUGCAAAUGCAUCUGAUGCUAUCUUGUGCACUGUGCUUGGACAAAAUGCUGUCCAUGGAGCAUUUGCCGGGUUCAGCGGCAUCACAUCAGGUAUUUGCAACACACAUUAUGCCUUCCUCCCGAUCACAGAAGUCAUCACAACACCGAAGCAUGUGAACCCAAAUAGCAGGAUGUGGCACCGAUGUCUCACGUCCACUGGCCAACCGGACUUCCACUGA